rnacentral:rRNA from 1 species
AGUGAACGCUGGCGGUAGGCCUAACACAUGCAAGUCGAACGGCAGCACAGUAAGAGCUUGCUCUUACGGGUGGCGAGUGGCGGACGGGUGAGGAAUACAUCGGAAUCUACUUUUUCGUGGGGGAUAACGUAGGGAAACUUACGCUAAUACCGCAUACGACCUACGGGUGAAAGCAGGGGAUCUUCGGACCUUGCGCGAUUGAAUGAGCCGAUGUCGGAUUAGCUAGUUGGCGGGGUAAAGGCCCACCAAGGCGACGAUCCGUAGCUGGUCUGAGAGGAUGAUCAGCCACACUGGAACUGAGACACGGUCCAGACUCCUACGGGAGGCAGCUGUGGGGAAUAUUGGACAAUGGGCGCAAGCCUGAUCCAGCCAUACCGCGUGGGUGAAGAAGGCCUUCGGGUUGUAAAGCCCUUUUGUUGGGAAAGAAAAGCAGCAGGUUAAUACCCCGCUGUUCUGACGGUACCCAAAGAGUAAGCACCGGCUAACUUCGUG